UACAGAGGGUGCAAGCGUUAAUCGGAAUCACUGGGCUUAAAGCGUUCGUAGGCGGGCUUGCAGGCGCGUUGUGAAAGCCCCCGGCUCAACCGGGGAACUGCUUCGCGAACCGCAAGUCUUGAGUCAAGUAGGGGCGGUCGGAACGAUAGGUGGAGCGGUGAAAAUGCGUAGAUAUCUAUCGGAACGCCAAAGGUGAAGACAGGCCGCUGGGCUUGUACUGACGCUGAGGAACGAAAGCGUGGGGAGCAAACGGG
rnacentral:rRNA from 1 species